AGGGUUGUGGCUCAGCAGUAGAGCAUUCGCCUCGCAUGCGAGAGGUGCUGGGUUCAAUCCUC
rnacentral:tRNA from 1 species